rnacentral:rRNA from 1 species
CCCUUAGAUGUUCUGGGCCGCACGCGCGCUACACUGACCGGUGCAACAAGCAUCCGUCCUUGGCCGACAGGCCCGGGCAAUCUUUGAACGCCGGUCGUGAUGGGGAUAGACUUUUGCAAUUUUUGGUCUUCAACGAGGAAUUCCUAGUAAACGCAAGUCAUCAACUUGCAUUGAUUACGUCCCUGCCCUUUGUACACACCGCCCGUCGCACCUACCGAUUGGAUGGUCCGGUGAAGCCUCGGGAUUGUGGUUCUUGCCGCUUUAUUGUGGCGUGACCGCGAGAACUUGUCUAAACCUUAUCAUCUAGAGGAAGGUGAAGUCGUAACA